ensembl:lncRNA GFOD3P Gfo/Idh/MocA-like oxidoreductase domain containing 3, pseudogene
CAGAGCAGACCAGCCAGAGUUUUUCUGAAGCCUCCCACAGGGUGCUCCCCGGAGGAGGCCCGAGAUGCUCUCGUGACUUUGGAGCCGGGGUGGCUGGCCACCUUGGCCUGGGCAUCUUUGGGGUGGGCUUCGGGAGCCCGGCACUGCUGCAGAGUGUGGUGGAUGAGAACAGCUGCUGCUUGCUGUACGUGGUGGAGGACCAGCUGUGUGAUGUGGAGCAAGCCUUCAGAGCUGAGCAUUUGGGCCAACACCAGAGUGGUUCGGGAACAGGAUGCAGACAUUGUCCUCAACGACCAGCGGCACUUUGAUCCGGUUUUCCAGUUCUUGCACAAGCAAGUUUGUGUCAGCCACGCCCUGGGGAGGAUCCACUGGAUCACCGCCGUCACUGCCUGUUCCCGGCGGCCUCUCCGGCUUCCCUAAAGAGAGCAGGUGGGACUUUCUACAACGCUGCUGUGCACGACGUGGAUGCCGUAUGCAUGUUGCUGGGGGAAGCCACUCCGGACACUGUGUUUUCUCUGGGACAUGUCUUCUGCCCAGAUAUGGCCGCCUUAAAAGAUGCAGAUGCUGUUGUGAUCAGCAUGAAGUUUCCCUGUGAGGCCGUGGUUAGCGUGGACAUCAGCCAGCACUGCACAGACAGCUGCGACCAGGACGUCAGCCAGCACUGCACAGACAGCUGCGACCAGAGACUGGAGGGAAAUAACCUCCUGAAAUCACCAAAGAGCAGUUCCUCAGGGCCUUCCGGGUGACCGUGGCCGUGGAGCAGUCGUGGUGAAACCGGUCAGCUGUGGACCUGCCCUGCGAAUCGGCAGAGGCCUCCGUGGUGAAGACAGAAGCUCCGUGAACCAACUCGAGGCUGGAGCCAAGAUCCUGCCUGAUAUCCAGUUGCCUGUUUCACUUGUUACUGUUACUGGGAGAGGGAGACAAAACCUCAUGGCAAUCUUGUCCUCACUGGAGACUCAGAAGGGGAAGCAUUGGGAAACCAUGGCGUUUUAGAGUCCCCGUUUCUACGUUCUAUGUGGCACCCUCUUGCCGAGGGAACAUCCAGAAUCCCUCCACUUCCUGUCUAGUUUGAGGCCUCAACACCUUCAUGAUCCAGAGUCCUGCGGCUAUGAGGGGGUGGGCCCACCACCGCCCAGCCCUCCUUGGUGGACGUGGGGACAGCUGCUUCUCCAGUGCAAGGAGGCUGCAUGGGC